rnacentral:misc_RNA from 1 species
UCAAAUUGCUGAGUCUCAAGCAGAUAUAAUUGAUUGGAUCGCUGGAAAUGGAUUUCCCGUAUUUAAAGAUUAUGCGGUGACCAUGGGAGCGAGUGGAAGCAAAAAGUUAGAAAAUCUAUCCAUUGCCCUGCAUCCUGUCCCAGAAUUGAGCCGUUACUCUGAUGCAAUCCUGAAUGGAAUUGAAAUUUUCAAAUUGUUAAAUUCAGAAAUUCAUACAACACCCAUCCCAAAAACAACAAAGCCAGAGAAUGAUAGGAUGACAGUAGUUGCCACUGUAGCUGGUGUUGUAUUGGCCUUUGUUAUUGUAAUCCCUCUUCUAUUCUUCUUGAUUGUUCAAAGGAGAGUAAAAGACAAGGAUUCUAGGGAUAGGGCUCCAUGUUUAGCCCAAUUUGUUUCUUUGACGGAGGCCACCAAGAUCCACCGAUCAUCUCUACCCUCUAAUAAUUGGGGCAGUUUUUCU